rnacentral:rRNA from 1 species
GAUGAACGCUGGCGGCGUGCCUAAUACAUGCAAGUCGAGCGAACAGACGAGGAGCUUGCUCCUCUGACGUUAGCGGCGGACGGGUGAGUAACACGUGGAUAACCUACCUACAAGACUGGGAUAACUUCGGGAAACCGGAGCUAAUACCGGAUAAUAUAUUGAACCGCAUGGUUCAAUAGUGAAAGACGGUUUUGCUGUCACUUAUAGAUGGAUCCGCGCCGCAUUAGCUAGUUGGUAAGGUAACGGCUUACCAAGGCGACGAUGCGUAGCCGACCUGAGAGGGUGAUCGGCCACACUGGAACUGAGACACGGUCCAGACUCCUACGGGAGGCAGCGGUAGGGAAUCUUCCGCAAUGGGCGAAAGCCUGACGGAGCAACGCCGCGUGAGUGAUGAAGGUCUUCGGAUCGUAAAACUCUGUUAUUAGGGAAGAACAAAUGUGUAAGUAACUAUGCACGUCUUGACGGUACCUAAUCAGAAAGCCACGGCUAACUACGUG